rnacentral:lncRNA from 1 species
UAGUACCAUUAUGAUGUUUGCUCUUUCCUUCUAUGUUUCCAUGGUGACUGAAAAUGGAGCCCUUUCUUCAGGCCACUGGUCUUUGCAGCACUGAUGUUCUCAGCCACAGAAGUGUACUUAGAGGUACCUUCCCUUUACACUUCAUACAGAGACUCAAAGAAGAGACUAAGCUAUCAGUCUCAUCCAGGAUUUCACUGCUGAGCUGAAUACAAAUCAUCAGUUAAGUGAAGCAAUGGUGACAAGAAUUUGCUUAGGUUUCCUACCCUUCACUGCCUUCCACAUAUUCUACCACAGUAGUGUCCAAAUCAAGGAGGAAAUGGUGCCAUACAUAAGUUCCUACUGGACAAAUACUGACAAACUGCUUGAGACAUCAAAUGCUUCCUUUUGUACUUUUUCUUUAGUUCUGUGGAAAAUGGAAUCUGUUGGAUGGAGUGAGUAUUGUUCCUUAGUCUCUAUGAAGUACCCCUUCUUAUUCCUAGGACAAUGACAGUUUGGGUUACUUGGAAGAUUUCUAAGCUUAAGUAAUUUUGGAUCUACAUCCCUAAUAUU